CCCUGAUCGUUACAAUUCCCAUCUCUUCUGGACUUUUUAUCCUAAAUAGGUUUUUGCAGCAAAUCACCUCCUCCGCUAAUGUGUCACUGGGAGCCGCUCCGGAGAGCUGAGUCCCAGGAGGUUAGCGGAACCCUUCCUCAGUUUCUGCAUGCCUAUCUCAGAGCUUAUAAAGAGGUGGAGAAAUUACUAUGAAGGCCCCAGUGCAGAAUGCCUGAGAGCUGUGGCUGCUCCUUCAGGAGCCUCCCUGGCUG
rnacentral:lncRNA from 1 species